rnacentral:rRNA from 1 species
UACAGAGGUCUCGAGCGUUGUUCGGAUUCAUUGGGCGUAAAGCGCGCGUAGGCGGCCCGGUAAGUCCGCUGUGAAAGUCCAGGGCUCAACCCUGGAAAGCCGGUGGAUACUGCCGGGCUAGAGUCCGGAAGAGGCGAGUGGAAUUCCUGGUGUAGCGGUGGAAUGCGCAGAUAUCAGGAGGAACACCGAUGGCGAAGGCAGCUCGCUGGGACGGUACUGACGCCUGAGGCGCGAAAGCGUGGGGAGCAAACAGG